ACAAGGAGAAGUCUCCUGGAGCCCGAGAGGAGACGUAAUUAGUCUCAUGAGGAACGAGGAAGCUGUGCUCUCUCGCUCUUUCUGUUUCUUGCUCUCUGGGAGACCGUGGCCUCCAGCCUCUGCCUGCAGGCUCCCCUACAUCAUCCCUGAGCAGAGCAGCUUCUCAGCAGUGCUGUGAACAUGCCCUCCUCCGACUCUCCAAUUUCACAUCGCCUUUGUUCCAACCUGCAGCCUGCCCAGAUCUCUCAUCUUGAGCUCUAAUCCCCAGAAAAGCCAGGGAGAAAAAUGAAAACUCAACUGUGCCCCGCACCAGCCUCCGCCCCAACUUAAGGAACGCAAAAGAGAAAUGCCAGGAGACUCGAUCAUUCCCUCCAGAGCCGCCGCUGGUCAGGA